GAGUCUGCAACCCGACUCCGUGAAGCUGGAUUCGCUAGUAAUCGCGCAUCAGCCAUGGCGCGGUGAAUACGUUCCCGGGCCUUGUACACACCGCCCGUCAAGCCAUGGGAGCCGGGGGCGCCUGAAGUCCGGGACCGCGAGGACCGGCCUAGGGCGAAACUGGUAACUGGGGCUAAGUCGUAACAAGGUAUC
rnacentral:rRNA from 1 species